CGCUGCCAGAGAGCUACAACGCAAGGGCCACAGCAUCAUCGUCUUCGAGCGCGGCACCGGGGUCGGAGGAACCUGGAUCUACAGCCCCGAAACCGAAUCUGACCUGCUAUGUUUGGAUCCGACCUAAUUGAACUUGGUUCUCUUCAAGAUACGGUGCCAACAGAUAAAAUUGUAGUUUUGUAAGGUGGUUGGAACUUUGAUCAGGUCCUGGAGCUCACUGGAAACGCAGCAAGAGACAACAAGAGAUAACAAGAAGACAACAAGAAAACACAGCAAAAACGCCCCUACUGACGAUGAGUAGAUGGGGACUUUAAAUUGGGUUUUAAACUAAGCAUUUUGAGAAGAGAGAUUCUUUUUGUAAAAGAAGGAAAUUUAGUUGAUUCCUAUGUUUGAUGUUGUGAGAUUGGUUCUUCUCUUUGUUUAGUAUCAAUACAAGGUCAUGUUUAGUAUCAA